AUUGAACGCUGGCGGAAUGCUUUACACAUGCAAGUCGAACGGCAGCACGGGGGCAACACUGGUGGCGAGUGGCGAACGGGUGAGUAAUACAUCGGAACGUGCCCAGUCGUGGGGGAUAACGUAGCGAAAGUUACGCUACUACCGCAUACGAUCUACGGCAGAAAGCGGGGGAGUGUAAGGCCUCGCGCGAUUGGAUCGGCCGAUGUCGGAUUAGGUAGUUGGUGAGGUAGAGGCUCACCAAGCCGACGAUCUGUAGCUGGUCUGAGAGGACGACCAGCCACACUGGGACUGAGACACGGCCCAGACUCCUACGGGAGGCAGCAGUGGGGAAUUUUGGACAAUGGGCGCAAGCCUGAUCCAGCCAUUCCGCGUGCAGGACGAAGGCCUUCGGGUUGUAAACUGCUUUUGUACGGAACGAAAAGGCUCUGGUUAAUACCUGGGGCUCAUGACGGUACCGUAAGAAUAAGCACCGGCUAACUACGUGCCAGCCGCCGCCGUAA
rnacentral:rRNA from 1 species